rnacentral:rRNA from 1 species
CCCUUAGAUGUUCUGGGCUGCACGCGCGCUACACUGACGCACGCAACAGGUGCCUGCUCCGAGAGGACUGGGUAAUCAUUUGAGUGUGCGUCGUGAUGGGGAUAGAAUAUUGUAAUUAUUACUCUUCAACGAGGAAUUCCUGGUAAGCGCAAGUCAGCAGCUUGCGCUGAUUACGUCCCUGCCCUUUGUACACACCGCCCGUCGCUCCUACCGAUGGGUGAUCCGGUGAAUGAUUCGGACUUCAGCGGCUCCUCUGGGGUGCGCCGGAGAAAGUUUUGUGAACCUUAUCACUUGGAGGAAGGAGAAGUCGUAACA